UUUUUAAUUGUAAAUUUCCUGGAAUCCAGCGGGGAGCACGUUUUUUAAGAAAUUCCGGUUAUUGACAUUGUUGAAUCGAAAACAAUGCGUGACAUAUGCGCACGGUCGGAACAAUUAAAUUGCAUUAACAUGGGUAUACUGAUGGAUUUUUUUAAAGCCUGGUUUCCAUAUGAUCGUAAUAGUCGUAAAAAUAGAGUCACGAUCUUUCUCCGCGGCCAGUUUAUAAUAGUUUAUACCUGUAAACCACAUGUAUAUAAAUCUUAAACUCAUUAAGAGGCAAGUUUUUCCAAUGUCACAUAUUUGCAAUGAAAAAUGUACAAAACCUAAAAUCUUUUUGGCGUUCAUCUCAAAAUUACUUUGUUUUAGCUUUAUUCUCUAGUUUAUAGAGUUAGCAACCUUUUUAAAUGCAUCUGCCAGUUGAGAAACAUAAAAUAAUAGUUAAAAAUUGUCAAUUAAAGUACAAAUAUCAAUGAUGCUUUAAAAUUGACGCCAUAUUUAUAGCCAUAUAAGCAAAACUUACUGAACUUCAGGCGUCAUUUUCUCUUUGGCGUAUCAUCUAAAAUAUCUUCUUUUAGCAUUAUUUUACAGAUAAAGCACUAAACAUACUUUUUAAGUCUGUUUGCCGAUUGAGAAACGUAUCGAAAAAUAAAAAUUUUGAAUUUAGUCAUAACCUCAAGCGAUAUAUUAUACGCUUU